AAAAAAAGGAAAAUUCUAGGGAGAGGGAGAAAUAAACACAAGCGAUCAAUUGACUGCUGUUUUUACGAUAUCACAGAGCUCCUGAGUCAAUCCACACUGAGAUGACCACAUUCUGGCCUUCAGUCAGGUAAGGGGAUAAACACCUCUCAUUUUAAUGACUUUAAAUGUAUGCAUCUAGAAUAAGCUGGGGUGUAUGUGUUUACAUAUGCACAGGGGGUCUAGAGACUAUCUUUAGGAACUGUCCACCUUGUUUGUUUGUCUGUCUAUUUAAAAAACAAUAUUGACAUUUAUUAAAUGGGGAUUUUACACAGAUUUAAGCCCAGCAGUAAGUUGAAAGAGGUUCUCAGAGAAAGAGUAAGACACACGGAAGAGCUGAGUAUGACUUAAGCCUCGCAGGACUUGGGGUUCCAGGUUGUCAGUCUUGGCAGCAACUGCCUUUAUUCAGUGAACCAUCUCAUCUGAGCAUUCUCUAACGCUUGACUAUUGAUGGAAUGUGAUCAGUUGCCUCAAG
rnacentral:lncRNA from 1 species